GACAAAUCAUAAAAUGGUACAUUAUUUUUUUAUUUUCGUUCAGUGGUAAUAGUGCCAGUUGCAUUAAUAAGACUGUCGUUUAUAACGAGUUGUACAAGGAUUCACUAAAGGAUACUUUGCCGAAUAUACCUUUAGAAAAAUUUGGAAAUAAAUACUACUAUUUUGGAGCAGUUUACGAGGGCAAUUUUUUCCAAGCGAUACAAUACU